rnacentral:rRNA from 1 species
GUAGGGUGCGAGCGUUAAUCGGAAUUACUGGGCGUAAAGCGUGCGCAGGCGGUUUGCCAAGCUCGAUGUGAAAGCCCCGGGCUUAACCUGGGAACUGCAUUGAGGACUGGCAAGCUCGAGUGCGGCAGAGGGGGGUGGAAUUCCACGUGUAGCAGUGAAAUGCGUAGAGAUGUGGAGGAACACCGAUGGCGAAGGCAGCCCCCUGGGCCGACACUGACGCUCAUGCACGAAAGCGUGGGGAGCAAACAGGAUUAGAUACCCUGGUAGUCCACGCCCUAAACGAUGUCAACUGGUUGUUGGGGGAGGAAACUUCCUUAGUAACGAAGCUAACGCGUGAAGUUGACCGCCUGGGGAGUACGGCCGCAAGGUUA